rnacentral:rRNA from 1 species
GCCGUUCGGGAACUCUGACACAGGUGCUGCAUGGCUGUCGUCAGCUCGUGUCGUGAGAUGGUUGGGUUAACGUCCCGUAACGAGCGCAACCUUGUCCUUAGUUACCAGCACGUUAUGGUGGGCACUCUAAGGAGACUGCCGGUGACAAACCGGAGGAAGGUGGGGAUGACGUCAAGUCAUCAUGGCCCUUACGGCCUGGGCUACACACGUGCUACAAUGGUCGGUACAAAGGGUUGCCAAGCCGCGAGGUGGAGCUAAUCCCAUAAAACCGAUCGUAGUCCGGAUCGCAGUCUGCAACUCGACUGCGUGAAGUCGGAAUCGCUAGUAAUCGUGAAUCAGAAUGUCACGGUGAAUACGUUCCCGGGCCUU